rnacentral:rRNA from 1 species
GACGAACGCUGGCGGCGUGCCUAAUACAUGCAAGUAGAACGCAGAUGCGAACGGGUGAGUAACGCGUAGGUAACUGCCUCAUAGCGGGGGAAAACUAUUGGAAACGGUAGAUAAUACCGCAUACUGUGAGAUGGACCUGCGGUGUAUUAGCUAGUUGGUGAGGUAAAGGCUCACCAAGGAGACGAUACAGAGCCGACCUGAGAGGUGGAUCGGCCCACCUGGGACUUAGCCACGGCCCAGACUCCUUCGGUAGUCCGCAGUAGGGCAUCUUCGGCAAUGGACGGAAGUCUGACCGAGCAACGCCGCGUGAGUGAAGAAGGUUUUCGGAUCGUAUAGCUCUGUUUUUAGAGACGCGGUAACUAACCAGAAAGGGACGGCUAACUACGUGCCAGCAGCCGCGAUAAUUC